rnacentral:rRNA from 1 species
GAUGAACGCUGGCGGCGUGCCUAAUACAUGCAAGUCGAACGCAUAGCGAAAGGUGCUUGCACCUUUCAAGUGAGUGGCGAACGGGUGAGUAACACGUGGACAACCUGCCUCAAGGCUGGGGAUAACAUUUGGAAACAGAUGCUAAUACCGAAUAAAACUUAGUGUCGCAUGACACAAAGUUAAAAGGCGCUUCGGCGUCACCUAGAGAUGGAUCCGCGGUGCAUUAGUUAGUUGGUGAGGUAAAGGCCUACCAAGACAAUGAUGCAUAGCCGAGUUGAGAGACUGAUCGGCCACAUUGGGACUGAGACACGGCCCAAACUCCUACGGGAGGCUGCAGUAGGGAAUCUUCCACAAAGGGCGAAAGCCUGAUGGAGCAACGCCGCGUGUGUGAUGAAGGCUUUCGGGUCGUAAAGCACUGUUGUAUGGGAAGAACAGCUAGAAUAGGAAAUGAUUUUAGUUUGACGGUACCAUACCAGAAAGGGACGGCUAAAUACGUG